rnacentral:rRNA from 1 species
ACCUGGUUAUCCUACCAGUAGCAUCUGUUUGUGUGAAAUAUUAAGCCAUACACAUGUAAGUACACACGGCCUGUAGAGUGAAACUGUGAAUGGCUCAUUCAUUUAGUUAUGGUUCAUUUGAUCGCUCCAUCUGUUACUUGGAUAACUGUGGUAAUUCUAGAGGUAAUACAUGCUGACAAGCGCUGACUUCCCUGGAUGCGUGCAUUUAUCAGUGCAAGACCAAUAUGGAGCUCCCGGCCACUAUGAUCACUCUAAAUAUCUUUGGGCUGAUUGGACGUGCCGUGAGGCGACGAUGCAUUCGGAUGUCUGCCCUAUCAACUUUCGAUGGUACUUUCUGUGCCUACCAUGGUGACCACGGGUAACGGGGAAUCAGGGUUCAAUUGCAUAGUGGGAGCCUGAGAAACAGCUGCAACAUCCAAGGAAGGCAGCAGGCGCGCAAAUUACCCACUCCCGACUCGGGGAGGUAGUGACGAAAUAACAAUACAGGAAUCUUUCGAGGCCUGGUGAUUGGAAUGAGUACACUUUAAAUCCUUUAAUGAGGAUUUAUUGGAGGGCAGGUAUAGUGCAAAUAGUCAUGUAAUUGCAUCUCCAAUAGCGUCUAGAUGCUGCAGUUAAAAAGCUCAUAGUUGGAUUUUGGGAUUGAAUUGGCGGUCCACCGUGAAGCGAGAUACCGCCUGUCCCAGCCCCCGUCUCUCGGUACUCCCGUGGUCCUCUUGACUGAGUGCCUCGAUAUCUAAAGCGUUUCAUUUGAAAAUAUUAGAGUGCUCAAUGCAGGCCGUCGUCUGAACACUUCAGGUAGGAAUAAUGGAAUAGGACUCCGGUUCUAUUUUGUUGGUUUUCGGAACUGGGCCAUGAUUAAGAGGGACGGCCGGGGGCAUUCGUAUUGUGCCGCUAGAGGUGAAAUUCUUGGACUGCCGCAAGACGAACCAAAGCAAAAUCAUUUGCCAAGAAUGUUUCAUUAAUCAAGAACUAAAGUCAGAGGUUCAAGACGAUCAGAUACGGUCUUAGUUUCAACCAUAACAAUGCCGAAUAGCGAUCCUGCAGUGUUAUUCCAUAACCUGCCGAGCAGCGUCUGGGCAACCAAAGUCUUUGGGUUCCCAGGGCAGUAUGGUUGAAAAUCGGAAACUUAAAGGGAUUGACUGAAUGGGCUUUUUUGGACUGCAAUCACGAGCAGUUUUCUUAAUGAUAGAUUUAUGGUUUCUCGAGCUAAAUGCCAGUAGCACUGGCAUUAUAGGACCUGAAAAGGGUAGCACGAUAUACAAGCAAUACAUGCCGUUAAAUCCAAUUCUGAGUUUUGGGUAAUAGAUAGCUAUCAGCUACGGAUCUCCUAAUCCUCUGUUUAAAAAUAUUUAUAAAAGAUAGCCACAGUUACAUGGCAGAUUUAUGUGUAUGAAAACAUUGCACAAGUCACAUUAAUUGGAUGCACAAAACACUUUAUGGUGUAAUUCUUUUUGUAUAUCUAAAUAAUGUAUAUUUUUCUACCUGGGUGAUUUUAUGAUUGAUGAAAGUUAAUAAAAAUAUUGUGCAUUCAUCUUUGUGCUCUUUGGGACAAGACCCUCAUAUAAUUUGGUAUUGAAUAUAGAUAGGAGUAUUAUUAAUGAAUGACCUGUCAAUUAAAUUAAGAUUUCAGACCUGAAGACCGUGCAGAGUUGUCUGGGUCCUCGUUAUAUUGUGCAGUUUAUUUUUCCAGG